AACGAACGCUGGCGGCAGGCCUAACACAUGCAAGUCGAACGUGAAGCCACCUUCGGGUGGUGGAAAGUGGCAGACGGGUGAGUAACGCGUGGGAACGUGCCUUUCGGUUCGGGAUAACCCAGGGAAACUUGGGCUAAUACCGGAUACGCCCUUCGGGGGAAAGAUUCAUUGCCGAAAGAUCGGCCCGCGUCGGAUUAGCUAGUUGGUGGGGUAAUGGCCUACCAAGGCGACGAUCCGUAGCUGGUCUGAGAGGAUGAUCAGCCACACUGGGACUGAGACACGGCCCAGACUCCUACGGGAGGCAGCAGUGGGGAAUAUUGCACAAUGGGCGAAAGCCUGAUGCAGCCAUGCCGCGUGGGUGAAGAAGGCCUUAGGGUUGUAAACCCCUUUCAGCGGGGAAGAUAAUGACGGUACCCGCAGAAGAAGUCCCGGCUAACUCCGUGCCAGCCGCCGCCGUAAUAC
rnacentral:rRNA from 1 species